rnacentral:tRNA from 1 species
GGAGCAGUCGUAUAACUGGCAAUACACGCAUGUUACCCGAGAAACAUGCGGAUGAAGGUUCAAUCCCUUCCUGCUUCU